UUGGAAAGAACAUAAUCUUUUAUGGACGUCCAGAACAUCUAAUUAUCUCUGCUCAAGUUGUAAACGGCAACAACUGCAAGGGGCUAAUGACUCUGGUAUCAUGCUCAAACACUUAGAGCGCUGGGAAGUGACAACAGUAUAUUGGGACUACUUUUGGACUUUCGGCUCAGACGGUUCGAUAUAUCGUGAGGUCAAAGACUUGUUACAAGUGAAACAAGUACUGGAAUAUCAAAACCGUGAAAUGAAAUGUUCUGUUGUUAGGAUUGAGCAGUGGGAGUUUUACAGUGGUAAGC